GACGAACGCUGGCGGCGUGCUUAACACAUGCAAGUCGAACGCUGAAGCACCAGCUUGCUGGUGUGGAUGAGUGGCGAACGGGUGAGUAAUACGUGAGUAACCUGCCCUUGACUCUGGGAUAAGCCCGGGAAACUGGGUCUAAUACUGGAUGCUACAUGUCACCGCAUGGUGGUGUGUGGAAAGGGUUUACUGGUCUUGGAUGGGCUCACGGCCUAUCAGCUUGUUGGUGAGGUAAUGGCUCACCAAGGCGACGACGGGUAGCCGGCCUGAGAGGGUGACCGGCCACACUGGGACUGAGACACGGCCCAGACUCCUACGGGAGGCAGCAGUGGGGAAUAUUGCACAACGGGCGAAAGCCUGAUGCAGCGACGCCGCGUGGGGGAUGACGGACUUCGGGUUGUAAACCUCUUUCAGCAGGGAAGAAGCCACAAGUGACGGUACCUGCAGAAGAAGCGCCGGCUAACUACGUG
rnacentral:rRNA from 1 species